rnacentral:rRNA from 1 species
GACGAACGCUGGCGGCGUGCUACUACAUGCAAGUCGAACGCUUUUGUUUUCACCGGAGCUUGCUCCACCGAAAACAAAAGAGUUGGCGGACGGGUGAGUAACACGUGGGUAACCUGCCCUCAAGCGGGGGAUAACACUUGGAAACAGGUGCUAAUACCGCAUAACAAUCAGAAUCACAUGAUUUUGAUUUGAAAGGCGCUUUUGCGUCACUUAAGGAUGGACCCGCGUGUGCAUUAGCUAGUUGGUGGGGUAACGGCUCACCAAGGCCACGAUGCAUAGCCGACCUGAGAGGGUGAUCGGCCACACUGGGACUGAGACACGGCCCAGACUCCUACGGGAGGCAGCAGUAGGGAAUCUUCGGCAAUGGACGAAAGUCUGACCGAGCAACGCCGCGUGAGUGAAGAAGGUUUUCGGAUCGUAAAACUCUGUUUGUUAGAGAAGAACAAGGGUGAGAGUAGAAUGUUCACCCCUUGACGGUAUCUAACCAGAAAGCCACGGCUAACUACGUGCCAGGCAGCCGUCGGUAAUACGUAGGUGGCAAGCGUUGUCCGGAUUUAUUGGGCGU